rnacentral:rRNA from 1 species
GAGUUUGAUCGUGGCUCAGAUUGAACGCUGGCGGCAGGCCUAACACAUGCAAGUCGAGCGGAUGAAGGGAGCUUGCUCCUGGAUUCAGCGGCGGACGGGUGAGUAGUGCCUAGGAAUCUGCCUGGUAGUGGGGAGUAACGUCCGGAACGGGCGCUAAUACCGCAUACGUCCUGAGGGAGAAAGUGGGGAGUCUUCGGACCUCACGCUAUCAGAUGAGCCUAGGUCGGAUUAGCUAGUUGGUGGGGUAAAGGCCUACCAAGGCGACGAUCCGUAACUGGUCUGAGAGGAUGAUCAGUCACACUGGAACUGAGACACGGUCCAGACUCCUACGGGAGGCAGCAGUGGGGAAUAUUGGACAAUGGGCGGAAAGCCUGAUCCAGCCAUGCCGCGUGUGUGAAGAAGGUCUUCGGAUUGUAAAGCACUUUAAGUUGGGAGGAAGGGCAGUAAGUUAAUACCUUGCUGUUUUGACGUUACCAACAGAAUAAGCACCGGCUAACUUCGUGCCAGCAGCCGCCGUCGGG